GUAGCUUCUCCACCACCACUCAGCGGUAGAGGAGGUGUGCUUCUUCCCCAACACAACAUAGCGUCAGCCACGGUAUCCUCGGCCCUCUCCCUCUAUCUACCCUCUUCUGUUCCUUACCGAAAAAUCAUUUUUUUACCUUGUAUAAUACUUGUGAUUUGGACCGAUUUGUGUUUUGGGGGGCAUCAAUUUGGUGCUUCCCCCGUCCAUGUGCUGCAGAGAAAAGGAGAAGAAGGGGAUGGAUGAGCAAGGAGCAGAAGGACCUGAAGAAGAAGGGCAAGGGAAGUGGGGCGAUAUGCAUGUCCAGGGAGGGUAUAGAAAACCAAUUAGUGUUGGCUGCCUUGAAGGGAGCCACAAGGAAGAGAGAGAUCAGUGUACAUGACAUGAAGAUGAUAAGGCGCCACUUCCACGAUGACAUCAACAUCGCCGUGGUCUGUCUUCAAUGGCACCUGGGGCGACAUCAGAUCAUAUUCUUUUUAGAGGCCUUGCCUUGGACUUCCUGGAUCCUGAUUGUUGUUUCGCGUAUCUGCUUUGGGCCAUUGCUGUUCUUCUACCACUCAUUCAUAUAUUAUUUGACCAUUUGCUUUGCUAAGAUUCAAGACAUGCAUCCUUUAGCUAGAUUCAUCUUUGUUUGAUGUAGUUCUUUGUGAUCUGAAAGCAACUGACUACUCAAUACCAAUCAGUGCACGGAGGGAACUCCUGUCCACCACGCCGGCGACAGGAACAUGGAAAACGCAGUCCACGGUGCCACCAAUGAACAAGGCCGAGACAAGCAUUGUAAGGAUCCCAGUUAGAAUGAUGCUUGAUCUCCUGGUAGAGCAUCUUGGGCUUCACAAGGCCAUCUGAGACUCGGGCUCAAUGAGAACACAAUGAGAGUCAUCAUUCUCUCUGACACUGCUGUUCAAGACGACCGGACCUGUCCACCGCGCAUGCCCAUUACUGGUGUAUGAACAUUGCAUCCUUUAAUUUACCCUGUAUAUGAACAUUCCAUUCUUCAAAUAUGUUGUACUAUCAUUCUGGUGGCUAUGGAGAUGUGUUGUACUGUAGUUUUGGUAUCCAUUGAUGAUGUCUUGCUCCGAUUACACUUGAAUCUGUA